CAUACCAUUUGCAAAAGUAGGAAACCCAAGGUAUUGCAAGCGGGGUAUAUCCAGUCUUUUUUUUAGUAGCCACUUAGUCACAAACACUGGCCAAAUAUUUGUUGUUUGCUUUUUUACACAAUAACAAAUAUGAACGCUAACUUUGGCCAGUGUUUGUGACUAAGUGACUAUUAAAAAAGACUAGAUGUACCCCACUUGCAAUACCUUGGGUUGUCUACUUUUGCAAAUGGUAUG